CCCGUCGUGAGGCAAAACCUGAAGGAAUCCCAAGGCAUAACUUCGACCCGGGGAUCAUGAACCGUAUGAGGCGGAUGUAGCGGACAAGGUCACCAAACGGGCUGAAGUCCGAUGGCUGCACAGAAGCUGCGGACGUAGAUGCGGCGGGUACGCGAGGCGAAAGAUGUUGGU
rfam:Olsenella profusa F0195 contig00012, whole genome shotgun sequence.